GAGUGAAACUCAAAGGAAUUGACGGGGACCCGCACAAGUAGCGGAGCAUGUGGUUUAAUUCGAAGCAACGCGAAGAACCUUACCUAAGCUUGACAUCCCAAUGACAUCUCCUUAAUCGGAGAGUUCCAUUCGGGGACAUUGGUGACAGGUGGUGCAUGGUUGUCGUCAGCUCGUGUCGUGAGAUGUUGGGUUAAGUCCCGCAACGAGCGCAACCCUUGUCUUUAGUUGCCAUCAUUAAGUUGGGCACUCUAGAGAGACUGCCAGGGAUAACCUGGAGGAAGGUGGGGAUGACGUCAAAUCAUCAUGCCCCUUAUGCUUAGGGCUACACACGUGCUACAAUGGGUAGUACAGAGGGUUGCCAAGCCGUAAGGUGGAGCUAAUCCCUUAAAGCUACUCUCAGUUCGGAUUGUAGGCUGAAACUCGCCUACAUGAAGCUGGAGUUACUAGUAAUCGCAGAUCAGAAUGCUGCGGUGAAUGCGUUCCCGGGUCUUGUACACACCGCCCGUCACACCACGGGAGUUGGAGACGCCCGAAGCCGA
rnacentral:rRNA from 1 species